rnacentral:rRNA from 1 species
UACGUAGGGGGCAAGCGUUGUCCGGAAUCAUUGGGCGUAAAGCGCGUGUAGGCGGCUGGGUAAGUCCGCUCUGAAAGCCCGGGGCUCAACCCCGGGAGGCGGGUGGAUACUGCUCAGCUCGAGUCCGGAAGAGGAGUGUGGAAUUCCUGGUGUAGCGGUGAAAUGCGCAGAUAUCAGGAGGAACACCAAUGGCGAAGGCAGCACUCUGGGACGGUACUGACGCUGAGACGCGAAAGCGUGGGAGCAACAGGAU